AAAUGGACACAGAGAAGAUUAGCGCGGCCCCUGUGCAAGGAUGACAUGCAAAUUCGUGAAGCGCUCCACAUUUUU
rnacentral:snRNA from 1 species